rnacentral:rRNA from 1 species
GGUAAUUCUAGAGCUAAUACAUGCACCAAAGCUCCGAAUUUUUGACGAGCGCAUCUAUUAGAUUAAAACCAAUCGGGUUUCGGCCCGUUUGUUGGUGACUCUGAAUAACUAUGGCUGAUCGCAUGGUCUAGAACCGGCGACGUGUCUAUCAAGUGUCUGCCUUAUCAACUGUCGAUGGUAGUUUAUGUGCCUACCAUGGUUGUAACGGGUAACGGAGAAUAAGGGUUCGACUCCGGAGAGGGAGCCUGAGAAACGGCUACCACAUCCAAGGAAGGCAGCAGGCGCGCAAAUUACCCACUCUCGGCAUGAGGAGGUAGUGACGAAAAAUAACGAGACCGUUCUCUAUGAGGCCGGUUAUCGGAAUGGGUACAAUUUAAACCCGUUAACGAGGAUCUAUGAGAGGGCAAGUCUGGUGCCAGCAGCCGCGGUAAUUCCAGCUCUCAAAGUGUAUAUCGUCAUUGCUGCGGUUAAAAAGCUCGUAGUUGGAUCUGCGCCUCAGGACCUGGUCCGCCCACUGGGUGAGAACUGGGCUCCUGGGCUAGUUCUGCUGGUUUUCCCUGCGUUGCCUUCAUCGGUAGCGUAGGGUGGCUAGCGAGUUUACUUUGAAAAAAUUAGAGUGCUUCACGCGGGCUUAUGUCUGAAUACUCGUGCAUGGAAUAAUAGAAUAGGAUCUCGGCUCUAUUUUGUUGGUUUUCUGAUCUGAGAUAAUGGUUAAGAGGGACGGACGGGGGCAUUCGUAUCGCUGCGUGAGAGGUGAAAUUCUUGGACCGUAGCGAGACGUCCGACUGCGAAAGCAUUUGCCAAGAAUGUCUUCAUUAAUCAAGAACGAAAGUCAGAGGUUCGAAGG